rnacentral:lncRNA from 1 species
AUCCAGGUCUGUGCCCAAACAGUUUUAACAGGAAUCGCAGUUCAUUCAGGAGAUUCGUUCGUCUGGCUGGCAUGCACAACAAGCCAGUUCUGGUCACCGGCUCCUCGGACUUGGAGAGGAGCUAGAGGUGCACCUUGUUAUGCCAUCACUCAAGAGCAACAGGUUUCUGAUGUCCAGUGCUUUCAGUGUGUCUCAGAUGGCAGAUAUUCAACAUGUGUCCUGAUCAACACUCAAACGUCGUCUAAGUUCAGUUGUUCUUGGGCGUAAUGCUAUAAACUACAGACUUUAUAUGCAUGGUUUCCAGUUUCAUACCAAUCAAACAAUUUAGAAUGACUAUAAUCAAGACGGGACUUUAAAAUGACUAUGAUGAUAUACAUUACCUCAUCUCUGUCCAUUGUUACAAAUUUCCCAGACACUUCAAUCUGUCACAUGCACCAUUAUAUUCUGACAUGUCAGACUUGGCUCUGGAUGUAAAGAUGAAGGACUUGGUGGCUGGGAACGACGACCUUGGACCGGAGGCUGUUCGAGCACUCACGUUUUUGAAAUGUGUAAGCCUUUAAAUGACCUUUUACAGACUACUUCUACAAACGAGGCUACACUUGUGGCAGCACCUAUUCCUGUGGCCCCCCCAUCUUCUGCACCACUUCCUGUGGCCUCCCCUCCACCAUUCCCUGAGGCUUAUCGUCCACCUUCACCACACUCUUCUGUUGAUGUUGGUGAUGACAAUGAUGUUGACCUCCAAACACUGCUGAAGUUAAUGAGAUGCCAACCAAAUGAACGUGGGAUGCUGACGGUAAAGGGGCAGCUGAUGAGGGUGGUCCCUCAUGAGAAUUUCCCCAGCUGCUAAUGAGUGCCAUCCAUUCCUCUGCAAUAUUUGAGGGACCUGAUUGACAAAAAUGCCUUUCUUGCAACUCUCAAGCACUCUAUGAUGGCGUAUACAAGCAGGUGGGCCGCAUGAUUGCUGUCUGUCUGGUACAUGGGGGUGUAGAGACACCAUUUUUUCAGAGAGGCUAUACAGGCAAGUGUGUGGCCUAAAACCUCCUGUGCCAGAACUGAAAGAAAUUGCGGAAUAUGACUUCAGAGAGAAGUUGGAGAAGGUAAGUACUUUAUACUGUGAUGGAUGUUAUGUUACUGUUAAUUUGCACUAAGUUUGUAGUUCAUGAGAACUUUUCCACAUGGAUUUGGUUUAUUUUUGUUGGCAGACAAUCUUUAAGGGUGGUGAUAAUCAGUUUAUUAUUUUGCUAAUUUGUCCCAAAACACAGUUCAAUAAACAAUCUAAGAUCCAGUUAGCACAAACUGUUGACGAGGCACAGGAAGUGGUCAUGUUGGGUCCAGUGCGAUACAUUCGUACAUUGGAGUGGGAUGCCCUGGUGGAGUCAGCCACAAAGUUCUACUUAGAAAGCAGGAUACGGGAUGCUCUUGAGUAGUGAGUUUCCAUAUAUCUAAGGAAUCUCAAGUUUAGUUCAAUUCUUCAGGGCAAAUUCAUACUUUUUUAAAACUUUAUAGAUUCAAAGAGGGUCUGGAGUGUCUAGGUCUCCUGCCUUACAUGAAUAGACACUCAAGCCUCUUCAGAGGUUUUCAUCUACGCUGAGAAACCUCAUUUGGCCAAAGACAUAGCUUCUCUCUUCAAAGCAGAGCGCUCCCCACCUGGUACCAAUUAAAGAGCAAUAGAGAAGAGUUCUAUGUUUCUGGAGCGACUGGCUGCUGGAGGUGGAAGGUUAGAUGCAAAACCAUGAUCAUUGAAGUAACACGGCCCACAUCAGUAAAACAUCACCUAAUCACUCUCACAACUGUGGGAAAGCAUUUUGUAACCUUAUUCUUCCAUGGGCCCCCUAAGAAUGUAAUAGAUAAGUGAAAGUAGUUUGGAUUUAAUUUAAGAGUAUUGUGUUCUCCAACAAGUGUUACUUAUGCACUUUAAUGUCCCCCCCUUUCCUUUUUUCAGGGGGGAACACAUACUCUUUAACCAUGGAGAAGGUUUUCGUUUUCACUUCAGGGGCUUCAGCAUUCCUAGGCUGGGAUUGCCAGUGGAGCCACAACUACAGUUCUCUGCAACCGCACAGCAAGCGGUACCGGAGCGCCAAGUCUAGGUCCAAGAGGCUUCUAAACAGCUUCUACCCCCAAGCCAUAAGACUACUGAACAUCUAAUCAAAUGGCUACCCAGACUAUUUUCUGCUACUCUAUCUAUGCAUAGUCACUUUAAUAUCUCUACCUAUAUGUAUAUAUGACUAACCAGUGCCCCCGCACAUUCUCUGUACCUGUACUCCCCCUGUAUAUAGCUUCACUAUUGUUAUUUUCCUGAUGCUCUUUAAUUAUUUACUUUUUUUUUUUUUUUGUAGCUGCAUUGUUGUUUAAGGGCUUGUAAGUAAGCAUUUCACUGUAAGGUCUACACCUGUUGUAUUUGGUGCAUGUGACAAAGACAAUUUGAUUUGAUUUAAAGAAUUCAUUUAAGGGGAAUUAUCCAAAACGUUUAUUGCAUGACCACCUAGUAAAUUCGGAAUACUGCAGCCAAUGUUAAUUGAUGUGCUAGCUAGCUGACUUCUGUGGCUAGCUACCAUAGGUGAGAACGGGGGUUGAAAAUGCUUCGAGGGAAUCCAAAAGUGAAGGUGGAGGUAGGGGACGAUUAUGGCCAAGGAGGUGCGUGUGCAUGGACGUCGGAGGAUCUGGCUGAGGAGAUCGCCAGGACGUCGGAGCCCAGAGGCCGCUUGAGGGAGGACGUUAGAGUGAUGGUUGCUGAAGCGGGCAUGAGUGCUUCAUUGACUGUGCUUCGCGCGGAUUCUGGUGGGCGGACCGAAGGGGUGACGUCGACGAGGAAUCUGGGGCUCAGGAUGUAAACAAACAUGGCGGCGCCCAGCUCCCGGCUGUGUCCGUAUCUGUUAAGACCCCGACGUAUUCCGGUAAGGCGGAUUGGGAAGCUUUUCAUGCUCAGUUUGAACUGUUAGCUCAUUUUAGGGGAUGAUCACGGAUGAUGCUCUGGCCUGUUUGAUAUUGAUUAGCCCCGAGGACAGACGUGAUUAUGGUGCUUCAGUGGGAGCACUGAGGAGGCGCUAUGGACUGUAUGUACAGCCCGGCUGCUGCGCUCCGAACUGAGUAAUAGACGCAGGCAGCCUGGAGAGCCUCUACGGGUGCUAGCUAAUGACAUUAAGAGCCUCUCUCGGCCGGCAUAUGCUCACAUGCCCCCCUCCGUGCAGAGCGAGCUAGCACGGGACCAGUUCAUACAGGCGCUCUCCUACGGAGCUGCGCAUACAGACCCAGCUGGCUCAUCCUGAGUCAUUGCCGAUAGCUUUGGAGAGGGAGCUGGUGUGGGCUGGGGCUUUGGUGGGGGUGCAGGGAGACAGACCCUCUGUGCGGGCUGGGGGGCAGAGCAGCCCAGACCUGGAAAAGCCUGCAUGGGUGGCUGAAAUGACAGAACUCAUAGCGUGCUGUGUCGCUACCCUAGUCCCAGGGUCUGCUGGGGUUGUUGCCAGCCAGGCCAUCUGCGCAGGGGUUGCCCCUUGUCCCCCAGAGCUCAGGGAAACGGCUCGGGGUCCGCAUAGACCGGGUAGUGUGGACCCCUGGCUUUCUUUCCCAACCACCAUCUUCUUCAGGAGGAGCCCACCGGCCCAGACGGGGAAGCAAGGCUCCACUUCCCCCAGAAGCAGACGAGGGCAAGCGGAUGGAGCCUGUCGUUGUGAUGGGCCGGACCUGUGUUGGAGACUUUUGUCAUGUCCCUGUCACUGUGGAGGGUGUUCCCUGCUCUGCCCUGGUUGACACUGGGUCCACAGUAACCCUGGUGAGGCCGGAUAUUGUGCCAGGUUGGACUCAGUGUGAACCCACAACUGUGCAGCUCCGCACAGUCACAGGUGAGCUGGCACCCAUGAAAGGGAAGGGAAUAAUGACUCUGACAGUAGGGGGCAGGUCUGUGCGUCAUCCUGUGUGGGUGGCGGCUGUGCAGGACCCUUGCAUCCUGGGGUUGGACUUUCUUAGGCGCACAGGCUGGCAGUUAGACCUAAAUGGGGGAACACAGAGCUUCCAGGGAGGGCCGGCAGUCACCAUGGCCCCCCUAAUGUCACAUUCACUCAACCCAACAAACCCUUUACUCCAACAGUUAAAGCAGCAGAGACUCAUGGCUGCCCCCCCUCCCCCCACAUCUGUGUGACUUUUCCCCAGGCCCCCUGUCACCUACGGCUGUGCGUUACAUUCCCUCGGCUACCUCCACGACACAUCCCUCCGUGGCAGUUGCUGUUUGAAUUCAGAGACGGCUUUGCGCUGAGUGAGGAAGAGGUGGGUCAGACUCAUCUGGUGCAGCAUGAGAUCGACACAGGUGAUGCUUGACCCAUCAAGAUGCGUCCCCGCCGUAUCCCGCUGGCACGCCAGGAGGCGGCAGACAAGGCUGUGUUGAAAGGAGGGAGUAGUGUAACGACCCUGGGUUUAUAAGCGUGGAAAUCGACUCUGCCGCUCGAGCAUGCUUUUGCGGCACAGUCGAUAGCGCGCUGGACUUCGGGCUAGAAGGUCGAGGGUUCGAGACCUGCUGUUUCAUUACAUUGGUGUCAGAAGUGAUCGAACCUUGCAUCCACGACAGUGCGUGUGCUUGGCUGGUGAGCACGUUUCAAGACCUCCCUGCCUGUUUCAUUACAGUAUAUUUAGCAGCUGUAGGCGUUAACUUGACGUGUGCAGGACCGCUUGCAGCUGUUUAUUUAGCACAUGUUGAAAAAACGACUUUAUAUCGGUGUUAUAUGCAUGUUCACACGCGUAUCUGCCGUCUCAUUGACUAGAAUGGUCCCACUUCAACAGCUGAGGGAUAUACUGAUCGCCAAGGUGGAUUUCGUGGCAUUUUAUUGUGCAAGUGAUUAAUUGUACUGGCCAAAUGAGUCCAAGAAACUGGCCGUCGUAUCUGCGGGUGAAAGGUUCUUGGGUAUCCACGAUUUCACGGCUGAAACGUAAGGAAUACUGUCUGAAUAUGUUAUUCUUUCUCAGGCACCAGAGAGCCUGUAGCAAUCAGUUGUUUCAUUGUCAUUUGUUUAUUAUUUGGGAAGAAUGUGAUUUCUCUCCCCCUUUUUCUCUUAUUGUUUUAUUUGAUCUCGUAUACUACCCUGUACAGUGGGUGGCGGCAUGCACCUCUAACAUGUUUGCGUACCGCUAUAAUACCAUAGAAGAGUUGUCCCAACUGAUCGGUCAUGGCUAAAAGUUAAAUUAACGUCAAAAGUAGUUCAUUUUGCAUUUUAGCUAACUUUAACCUAAUUAUUCUAACCUGCUCCAGAAAGUAAAAUAUGACAAAACCCACCUGGUCUCUUCCUCGGGCCUGCCUUCCUUCUUUGAAGACAGAAAAACAGGAGAACUGUGCAAUGUCUGGAUAUGGAACGUCGGAAUCUACACCGAGAGAUUUGCCGACUAUCCUCAGGUGUUGUGAAGAGAAGGUUUGACUGGACGUUGUUACUGGGAGGCUGAGUGCGGUGGGAAAUCGUUUAAUGCAGGUGUGGCAUAUGAAGACAUGAGCAGGGUUGGAAAAGAGCUCAACUGUUUAUUUUGUUACAAUGACAAAUCCUGGAGCCUGAGACGCCUCAAACGUCGUUUCCUCAAACGCUGACAAAGUUGGGGUGUAGCUGAACUCCUCAAGGCAUUCUGUCCUAACAAGUCUACGACACACCUGCAUUUCACUCAACCUUCACUGAACCACUCUAUGCAAUACUGUCAGUCAGUGACUAUUCAUCAGUGUCUCCGUGCUUGGUCUCAAAUGAGGAGAAAAGGAGGAUGGCAGAUGGUUAAGAUAAUAUCCUGUUCGAGGGAGAGAUCAGUUGACUGAGAAAAUACAUUUGAAAAAAUUCACAAUAUUUUCCAUAAUGAUUUGAACAUUUCAAUGUUCUGAAUGACCUCCAUUCUUAACGUGUUUAUAUCGGAGGUCUUACUGUACACCUCAAACUAUUCAGAUUAACAGUAUACACCAUUCCAUGGUCUUAGUAAAAAAAAUGUUUUAAUAUUUUUAGAUGUGAUGCAUUUUUAUCUAAUAAAGUAAUUAACAUUUCUCAAGCACUUGACCCCAAACUCUGGUCUUCUUACCCCAAACCACCACACCUCUAACCCAGCAAGUAUGGGGAUAGUGAGAGAGAGCACACAGAGAUAGAGAAGCUGACAUAUGAAGUCAGCCAUGCUUGACUUGCACCGCACCAUCUGUCUCCCUCCAAAUUUUAAUGAGACACCAGGAAGGGGGGAGACUAGAGAAGAGGCUGGAUCCAUUCAAACAGACAUCUUGUUAGACUACAGCGCUUCUCCAAGGUAAUGGUCUGCUGGGUAUUUUUGCUGUAUAGUGGAUAGAUAGA